UACGGGGGGGGCAAGCGUUGUUCGGAAUUACUGGGCGUAAAGGGCGCGUAGGCGGCCUGCUAAGUCGGACGUGAAAUCCCUCGGCUCAACCGGGGAACUGCGUCCGAUACUGGCGAGCUUGAAUCCGGGAGAGGGAUGUGGAAUUCCAGGUGUAGCGGUGAAAUGCGUAGAUAUCCGGAAGAACACCUGAGGCGAAGGCGGCUUGCUGGGCCUGAUCUGACGCUGGGGUGCGAAAGCGUGGGGAGCGAACGGG
rnacentral:rRNA from 1 species